rnacentral:rRNA from 1 species
GAUUAACGCUGGCGGCGUGCAUGAGACAUGCAAGUCGGACGGACGAUCAGGGCUUGCUCUGAUCGUUAGUGGCGGACGGCUGAGUAACGCGUAGGUGACCUGCCCCGAAGUGGGGAGUAACUGCCCGAAAGGGUGGCUAAUACCGCAUGUGGAGGUUCGUUCAUUCGAACCUUCAAAGACAGCAAUGCGCUUCGGGAGGGGCCGUGCGUCCGAUUAGCUCGUUGGUGGGGUAACGGCUCACCAAGGCGACGAUCGGUAGGUGGUCUGAGAGGACGAUCACCCAGACUGGGACUGAGACACGGCCCAGACUCCUACGGGAGGCAGCAGUCGGGAAUUUUGCGCAAUGGACGAAAGUCUGACGCAGCAACGCCGCGUGAGGGAUGACGGCCUUCGG